UACAGAGGGUGCGAGCGUUGUUCGGAAUCAUUGGGCGUAAAGCGCGCGUAGGCGGCUUUGCAAGUCGGAUGUGAAAGCCCUGGGCUCAACCCAGGAAGUGCAUUCGAAACUGCAUGGCUUGAGUCCCGGAGAGGGUGGCGGAAUUCCGAGUGUAGAGGUGAAAUUCGUAGAUAUUCGGAGGAACACCAGUGGCGAAGGCGGCCACCUGGACGAGGACUGACGCUGAGGUGCGAAAGCGUGGGGAGCAAACAGGAUUAGAUACCCGUGUAGU
rnacentral:rRNA from 1 species